rnacentral:lncRNA from 1 species
CAAAAUUAAUAUGCUAAAAUCAAUAUUUCAAAAUUAAUUCAAAAAUUAUAUUCUAAAAAGUCAAUAUUCAAAAUCAAUCUAAAAUCUAAUCCUAAAAAUUAAACUAGACUAAACCUAAUAUUAAUCCAAUUAUAUUCUAAGAUAGUCCUAAAAUUAAUCUAAACUUAAUCCUAAAAAUAUUCUAAACUUAAUCCUAAUUAAACUAAGGACUUAAUUAAACUAAGAGAUAAUAAAAAAAAACAAGGCAAUGGACUCCCCAAAAAAGGAUUGGGCCUGGAAUAAUGGAAAGGUCUGUUAAGCCCAGUCGCAGGGGUGUUAGUAGGCCAAGGGAGUAUGUGAAACAGCAAAAUACUUGGGCCUAAUGUGAAAGCCCAAGGGUGAAAAAUAAGAAGGAACGGAUGGUUCACUUCCUUCAUCCCCUCCAUCGCUCAGCCGCGACCAAGGGAGAAAGAAGCAGGUCGCGACGCUGUCUCCACCACCGACCGCGGCACUCACACGGCGGAGCACCCCACACGCCGUCUCUGUUUCCACCUCUAUCAACCUAAACCGAAAUACAACUACCUAAACAAAUCGAAAUCUAAAGCGAUCCGGCAACGGAACAAAAUUGAAUGGCGAACGCAGACGGAAUGAGAUUUGAUUCCGAUUCACAUUACAACAAAUGAAGUAAUCAUUGCGAAGAGAAGAAGAGAUCCUACCGACGAUGGCGAAGGAGGCGGAUUCGUCGGCAACGUCGAAUUCAAACUCAGGUAUCUAGAAACUCUAAUUCUCUGAUCUUCUUCCCUUGUUCGGUUGCGAGUUUCUUCUGUUGUAUGACUCGGCUUUGUGUUGUGGUUCGAACUGCAGAAUAGUUAUGGAGUUGUUGUGAGACUUUGAAGUUCGAUUUGUAGAGUUUUGUAGAUGGUAAUCUAUUGAGAGUUGAAGUUGCAAUUUGUUGCUCGAAUCGUUGUGCAUGAGUUGUUGGAGAUGGCGAGGAUAUGGAGUUGAGAGUUUUAUUUGCAGUGUGAGUUUUAUUUCAGGAAGAUGAAGAUGGUGAGAGUUGUGUUAUGCAGGUUUCGUGAUUCUGGAAAAAGGGGAAAGAAGAAGAACUUCAAGGCUAAUUCAGGUAUUUAUAUAGCUAUUGUGUAUUGGAUGUGAGAGUAAUUGAAUUGGACUUGGAUGUGCGUUUCAAUUGUGUUACGUUAUGUGUUUUCACCUUGUUUCAGUGCCGUUUUUUUUUUGCUGCUGCGCUUGAAUUUGUUAUGUAUUUGUUUGCUCCUGCGUUUCCUGCAUUUCAUCACUUACUGCGCUUGUACUCUCUUCCAAUUGCAUUUCAUUUUUUUUGUCUUAUUUGGAUGGCAUGAACUUGGGUUAUUGGAUAUGCAAUUUUGGAUCAUGGGAUUAACAUGUUGGGCUUAAGGAAUGUUAAUGCUGAAUUUUUAUUAUGAAAAAAAAUAAAUGGGCCAACUCUUUAGACUUAAGAAAUUGUGAUCUUUAUACUGAGUUUUAUCAUAGUAAAAAUGAUUGAAUGGGCCAACUAAUCAAUCAACACUACCAUGGCCCAUUGGUAAGAAAUGAUGUUAAAUUUCUAAAAUUGAAUUGAAACUUCUAAAAUCGGCAAAUUUACCGAGAUAACCCACUUUUUCGAAGAAAUUUCCAAAAUAACCCAUUUUUCAGGAAAAUUCCCAAUCUACCCCACUUUUAGGAGGAGGCGCCAAUUGGAUUGGCGACCCCUCUUAAAAAUUACAAGGAGGCGCCAAUUGGAUUGGCUAGGGCACCUGCCUACCAAUCCAAUUGGCGCCUAUUGGUAUUUUUUAAGAGGGUCGCCAACCAAUUGGCGACUCCCUUAAAAAAGCCUCAAAUGAAAAAACCUUCACAUGAAGUUGUAGAUCUUUUCGACAAUGAAUGGAUAUAAAUUGGGAUCAUUUGGAUUUUUUAUGAGAAAAGUUAUGGGCAGUUGAAUGUGGACUUCUGCAGUUUUUUCAACUUGUAAUCUGACCUGAUAAUGUCUUUGCUGAUUUAUUCAUGUGUUUUAGAGGAGUUAUGAUAAUUUGUCAACAUAUAUGAUAGUAGCACAUAUUAAUUUUCCACUGCACUUGGCACCGUACUCAAAGUAAUUUAACAAUGAGUUGAGUUAGGUUCCUGGCGAAGUUGUCUCUAAAAUUAGGGUUUCAACUGUAAUCCUGACCUAUAAUGUCUUGCAUUAUUCUAUGUGUUUCUUUAGAGUUAUGAAAUUUGUCCAACAUAACUUGAAGUAGACAUCUUAAAAUUUUCUAAUGCACUUGGUCCCACCUCAAAAUAAUUAAAAUGAGUGAGUUAGGUCCCUGCGAAGUUGACCUAAAAUUAGGGUUUCUGUCAAAAUGAUCUAUAAUGUUUUGAAAUGAAUGAUGAGCUUCCAAGUUUCAAAUGGACUUUUGAUGAACAUGAAAGUUGUUCAUAUGGCGACUGUUUUUAAAACUUGAAUGGAGGCGCCAAUUGGAUUGGCUAGGGUAGUGCCCUAGGCUAGGUAGUCCCUAGGCUAGGGCAGGUGCCCUAGGCUAGGGUAGGUGCCCUAGCCAACCCAAUUGGUGCCUAUGUGUAUGUUUUAAAAGGAGGCGCCAACAACAUUGGCGAGCUCAAUAAAAUGCCUUUUUUGUCUUGUAAAUAGAUGCGUUGUGUGACCUAUUGUUCCACAACUCAUAUAAUCAUUUGGCUAUCAUGUUUGGUGUUCGUCGCGAUACGGUAAGGUGAUUUAUGCGAGAGACAAACCUCAAUUGCUGAUGCGUUUUGGAACAUCACCACGUUAGAUCAACUGAAGAGGG